UGGGAACAUGCCUUGAGGUGGGGGACAACAGUUGGAAACGACUGCUAAUACCGCAUAAUGUCUACGGACCAAAGGGGGCUUCGGCUCUCGCCUUUAGAUUGGCCCAAGUGGGAUUAGCUAGUUGGUGAGGUAAUGGCUCACCAAGGCAACGAUCCCUAGCUGGUUUGAGAGGAUGAUCAGCCACACUGGAACUGAGACACGGUCCAGACUCCUACGGGAGGCAGCAGUGGGGAAUAUUGCACAAUGGGCGCAAGCCUGAUGCAGCCAUGCCGCGUGUGUGAAGAAGGCCUUCGGGUUGUAAAGCACUUUCAGUCAGGAGGAAAGAUUAGUAGUUAAUACCUGCUAGCUGUGACGUUACUGACAGAAGAAGCACCGGCUAACUCCGUGCCAGCAGCCGCGGUAAUACGGAGGGUGCGAGCGUUAAUCGGAAUUACUGGGCGUAAAGCGUACGCAGGCGGUUUGUUAAGCGAGAUGUGAAAGCCCCGGGCUCAACCUGGGAACUGCAUUUCGAACUGGCAAACUAGAGUGUGAUAGAGGGUGGUAGAAUUUCA
rnacentral:rRNA from 1 species